UGAACUUUGUUAUGGUCAUUCCGGGCAACACAGACAGUUCUGGUUCAGUAUCCUGGAGGAUAUGGAGGGGCUAGCAGAAUUUCUUAGCAAUAGCAUUUGCUGGUGUUUGAGGUCUUCUCUGGGCCGAGGGCAGCACUGGGGUUCCACUGGGCCCCAGAGGAGGGUGAGACAAGGAUGCUCGGAGCAGGUGUCACAAGAGGAGAGAAUUGGGCUGCCCUGGGAGCAGAGCUCUUGCAGAUCUCCAGCUAGAUGUCCGCUGGGCACUGCUUGCAACCUGCCUCUCUGGAAUUACAGAUCCAGCAGCUGA
rnacentral:lncRNA from 1 species